UACGUAGGUGGCAAGCGUUGUCCGGAUUUACUGGGCGUAAAGGGCGUGCAGGCGGUUUGUUAAGUGCAGGGUGAAAGCUCCCGGCCCAACUGGGAGAGGUCCUUGCAUACUGGCGAACUCGAGGGAGGCAGAGGAAAGUGGAAUUCCCGGUGUAGUGGUGAUAUGCGUAGAUAUCGGGAGGAACACCUGUGGCGAAGGCGGCUUUCUGGGCCUUACCUGACGCUGAGACGCGAAAGCGUGGGGAGCGAACCGG
rnacentral:rRNA from 1 species